AGCAGAAAGGCUUCAAAUCCUUCUACUGCAACAAAGAUAAGGACUAAUAAGAGCUGCUAAUUGGUCAUGUGAAAACAGCCCCAGUCUUCACAUCUUGCUGACAUCGGCAUCGGCAAGCAGCAAAGAAGACAACUGUUGUGACCGAGCAAAAUUCAACAAAGUUACAGUGCUUCUGAGUGUUGGGGUUUUUGUUCCGUGGAUUCACAUUUAAGACAGAUUCUGAGCAGAUGAAAGGAAAUGUGCCAUAAGUGGACUUGAAGAGAAAGGCAGAAUCGUUAUUCCAAAUGGAAUCUUCCACCACUCACCACAAGAGAAAAGUGGAGUUGCUCCCCUAUGAGGCAGGAAGGGAAGACCAGAGCUCCCUGGAAUCAACCCCUUCAGCUCUCCUCCAGCCGCACUGCAUCUCCUUCCUGGCGGAGGCCCCCCAUUCCAGGAGGGACCAGUGGCCACAGCCCCACCCUGCACACCCAGGAGACAGGGGGUCCGCUCUGCACUCCCAGGAGAGAGGGGUGUUGGGAACACGGAGCCCUGCUUCCAGAUGGACAAGGCCCCACCCUGCUCCCAGCCCCAGGCUCUGCGAACCCCACCCCUGCAUCCAGCAAGAUUUCUUUCUUUGUUGCACAAGCCAGUUUGAGGAAGGCCUCAGAUGUUCUCAUGUCCUGUUCUGGAGCACAUGCAGGAUCAUGCUCUUAGCAUUUCCCUGGGCUUUCCUGCCAGCAAUGAGGAUCCCUCAUCCUUCAGAAGCUGUCUGGGUGGCUGUCCAGGUCUUGCCUUCCUCACUCUCCAACAAGCGCUCACAUGUUACAUUAUUCUGCCCCCAGAAGGGCCAGUUUCUGAAGAAGACAGAGAAGGGAGUUUGCAACACUGCAAACAGAAAAAGCCCAGGAAGCUUCCUCGAGAUUGCAUCUACCUAUACAUUCCUUCCCUUGAUGACUUCUCUAUAAGUCUACACUUCCUCCAACCAGAUCUUUCCUCAAUAAAAC
rnacentral:lncRNA from 1 species